rnacentral:rRNA from 1 species
CCUACGGGUGGCAGCAGUGAGGAAUAUUGGUCAAUGGCCGGAAGGCUGAACCAGCCAUGCCGCGUGAAGGUCAGUGCCCUAUGGGCGUUAAACUUCUUUUGUGCGGGAGCAAUAAUGGUCACGUGUGGCCAGACGAGAGUACCGUACGAAUAAGCAUCGGCUAACUCCGUGCCAGCAGCCGCGGUAAUACGGGGGAUGCAAGCGUAAUCCGGAUAUAUUGGGUUUAAAGGGUGCGUAGGCUGUGAGGUAAGUCAGCGGUGAAAUGCCCCCGCUCAACGGGGGGAAGUGCCAUUGAUACUGCCUGGCUGGAAUGCGGAUGCCGUAGGAGGAAUGUGUGGUGUAGCGGUGAAAUGCAUAGAUAUCACGCAGAACACCGAUUGCGAAGGCAUCUCACGAAUCCGCGAUUGACGCGGAUGCACGAAAGCGUGGGUAUCAAACAGGAUUAGAUACCCUUGUAGUC